rnacentral:rRNA from 1 species
UGAUUCAGCGGCGGACGGGUGAGUAAUGCCUAGGAAUCUGCCCGAUAGUGGGGGACAACGUUUCGAAAGGAACGCUAAUACCGCAUACGUCCUACGGGAGAAAGUGGGGGAUCUUCGGACCUCACGCUAUCGGAUGAGCCUAGGUCGGAUUAGCUAGUUGGUGAGGUAAUGGCUCACCAAGGCGACGAUCCGUAACUGGUCUGAGAGGAUGAUCAGUCACACUGGAACUGAGACACGGUCCAGACUCCUACGGGAGGCAGCAGUGGGGAAUAUUGGACAAUGGGCGAAAGCCUGAUCCAGCCAUGCCGCGUGUGUGAAGAAGGUCUUCGGAUUGUAAAGCACUUUAAGUUGGGAGGAAGGGCAGUAAGCUAAUACCUUGCUGUUUUGACGUUACCAACAGAAUAAGCACCGGCUAACUUCGUGCCAGCAGCCGCGGUAAUACGAAGGGUGCAAGCGUUAAUCGGAAUUACUGGGCGUAAAGCGCGCGUAGGUGGUUCAGCAAGUUGGAUGUGAAAUCCCCGGGCUCAACCUGGGAACUGCAUCCAAAACUACUGAGCUAGAGUACGGUAGAGGGUGGUGGAAUUUCCUGUGUAGCGGUGA